rnacentral:misc_RNA from 1 species
UCGUAAAACCGAGGUGCGAGGGCUGUCGCUGACCUUUUGGUCGUGCACGCCCGAGCGCUCUCACACAAUCCAUCUCACCCCUUUGUGCACCACCGCGUGGGUCCCUCUCUGGUUCGUCCCGAGGGGGGCUUGCGUUUUCACACAAAACUCGAUACAGUGUAGAAUGUUAUCUUUUGCGGUCACACGCAAUCAAUA